UACGAAGGGGGCGAGCGUUGUUCGGAUUUACUGGGCGUAAAGGGCGCGUAGGCGGCGCAAGAAGUCAGGCGUGAAAGCCCCGGGCUCAACCUGGGAAUUGCGCUUGGGACUCUUGGGCUUGAGUUCGGGAGAGGAGCGUGGAAUUCCCAGUGUAGAGGUGAAAUUCGUAGAUAUUGGGAAGAACACCGGUGGCGAAGGCGGCCCACUGGUCCGGUACUGACGCUGAGGUGCGAAAGCGUGGGGAGCAAACAGG
rnacentral:rRNA from 1 species